rnacentral:lncRNA from 1 species
GAAUGUAGGUAAGAUUAAGAUAGAAAGUGCCACCCUGGGAAGAGGCCAGUAAAGUGCCACCCUGGGAAGAGGCCAGUGCAUGAUUCAAGGACAUUUAGAACAGACAACACCAAGCUCAAGUGGUGCAGCAUUUACUGAUAGCAAGAGAGGAGAGAGUGUGUACACAAGAUCCAGCCGUUUGCGUCAGUGCCCUGUGGCCAGCAGGUCCACUCUGCAGACCAUGUGGUCAGUACUGUAUUUUUUUAAAACUUGAAAUGAAUGAGGAUAUGUGCAUUCCAUCAUUCCUUGGAGCAAUUGUUUUCCCCUUUUAACUUUAAAAAAGAAAAGUUUGGUUGAGACCUGGCAG